UUCUUUAAAUGAGGACCAGUAUCAACGGCAUCACGAGGAUCCUACUGUCUCCCCCCUCUAAUCAGUGAAACUGAUCUCUCCGUGAAGAAGCGGGGAUGAAUCUAUAAGACGAGAAGACCCCAUGGAGCUUUAAACCCGACAGCACCCGCUUACUUUAUACCUAAUUAUAUGCCCGUUGCCUGUCUGCUCGGUUUUAGGUUGGGGUGACCACGGAGUACAAAAUAACCUCCAUGAAAAAGGGGAUAAAUACCCUUAUUAGAGAACAACACUUCCAAAAACUAACAAAUUAAUUUCUAAUGAUCCGACAUUCGAUCAACGAACCAAGUUACCCUGGGGAUAACAGCGCAAUCCACCCCGAGAGCUCCUAU
rnacentral:rRNA from 1 species